rnacentral:rRNA from 1 species
GAGUUUGAUCCUGGCUCAGAGCGAACGCUGGCGGCAGGCCUAACACAUGCAAGUCGAACGAACUCUUCGGAGUUAGUGGCGGACGGGUGAGUAACACGUGGGAACGUGCCUUUUGGUUCGGAAUAACUCAGGGAAACUUGUGCUAAUACCGAAUGUGCCCUUCGGGGGAAAGAUUUAUCGCCAUUAGAGCGGCCCGCGUCUGAUUAGCUAGUUGGUGAGGUAAAGGCUCACCAAGGCGACGAUCAGUAACUGGUCUGAGAGGAUGAUCAGCCACAUUGGGACUGAGACACGGCCCAAACUCCUACGGAGGCAGCAGUGGGGAAUCUUGCGCAAUGGGCGAAAGCCUGACGCAGCCAUGCCGCGUGAAUGAUGAAAGGUCUUAGGAUUGUAAAAAUUCUUUCACCGGGACGAUAAAUGACGGUACCCGGAGAAGAAGACCCCGGCUAAACUUCGUGCCAGCCGGCC